CGAGGUUUCGCGAGCGUUCGGCAGUGCCCCUGGAAGAUCGACGAGAAACCCGUUUUCGCGGCAGUGUUGGGCCAACAUGGAGGGGUCAAGUACGCAGAGUGAUUUACCCAUUUUCCCUGUCAAGAUGGUUGGACACAACAUCCGCACUGGAAGAUGAACAUGACCAAUUUUAAUGGAACUCUAUUAUUUUACCAUGGAUUGAACUUUCCAAUUUUUGUGGUACAACCGGAUUUUGCAUGUUUAAUUCAAUGACGUGUGAUCAACAACUCACAAACUGACGAAUCAGGCGACGGGGAUUCUUACGCCAUGUCGCAUGGAAUAUUGCAUGUAUUGUUCGUUGAUAAAAAACCUGAGGAAUAAGCACUUUCAUGGUACAUUUAAUAUGCGCCAUCUUGUUCACAUAGCAAGAAGAACAAGCAUUGCUAGAUGCGGACACAUUUUGUAAUGUACACAUUUUGGAAAGAACGCAUGAUGACUUGGAAGCACAAAAGGUUUUGUUUGAUGACGUGUAGACUGCAACGCAUGUAAAUUUGCCCGGUAAGAAAAAUGACGCAUUACAGUGAAAAAAAAUAAUCAGUUCAAUCAAAUUUCUCUAAAUAUCAACUUCCAGUUUUAUUUCACAAAUUAAUCAAUGUCAGUAGCCUUUAUGCUGUAUAUUGAAAACCGAUAAUACAAUACAAACCUCUGCGAACGACUGUACACUGCACUCGAAGUCCAUAUCGAUGUUCUGAAAAUACGCAGACUGCGUAACAUUAUGAACCACUGGCAACUUUGCUGAUCGUCUGCGAAACAGUUUGCAUCUGUCUGAAUUGUCGGCGACACUUCCAGAUGAAAUGUUUCCAUAUUAUCUGUUCUGCAGUUUUGGUCCCUUUUUUUGUUUCACUUUGCGUUUCUUACGUUGAGAUGGAAACUAGCCUGAACAGUAUUGAUUGCUUGUUAGUUUGUAACCAUUGCAAUCUUAAAUAUGUAUUAUUUGUUCUUAUACGCCUGCAUUCUUACCCUUGUAAUUAUUAAGAAAUACAAUUUAUUGUUAUUGCCAAGGGCUGGAGCGGUUGAAUAAUCUUGCCUUAAAACAAAUUGCUGACACGUGGAAUUUUAUAAGCUCAUGGUCUAUACAUGUCGCAAGAGUAUAGUUACUGUACAUGUACAUGUACAUUGUACAUCAGUGUUUUCCAGAGCAUUAAAAACCUCACACAAUA